GGUGCCAUGGUGUAAUGGCUAACACUCUAUGUCUGUGCCAGCUGGCAGUCUAGGGCUCCACGUUCGAUUCGUGGUGGGACCA